GGAGGGGGUAAUUCUUCGACCAGUUCUUAAAGUGGACAUUUGGCGCCCUCCACAGGGUUCGAAUGUGGGCUCUUGUGUCUCAAGCAUCACGUGAAUGUGUGACAGCACAGAGUAGUGAGACCACGCAGUACUAGAAACUGGAGGCAACGUUGGUUGAGUAUCCCUCAGUUGCACUUUCAGACAUUGGAAUUACAGCAGCAGUACCUUUUCUUAAUAGAGGGACAACCAACCAUGGCGGGACUUGAAUAAAGACGCGAGCCGAGCGAUAUUCGCCUAAACACUUUCCGCAUUUCUAUUUCAUACUCAAGUCGCUCCUCUUUUGCCCAAUGCAUCGGCGCUCUGUGGAGAAAGGACAGUGUUGAAACACUUUACUGGACUCAGUGAGAAGAAGAGAAGAGAAAGCCAAGUAAUUUUAAAGCAGAAUGGCGGACCGUGAUACGUUACCCCUUCCUUUGGAGGUGCGAACCAGACUUGCAGAGCUGGAACUGGAGUUAUCAGAGGCAGUGUUUCGUCACACAUUCCUGUCAUCUGAGUGGUUGAGCAGAUCGAU
ensembl:lncRNA